CCUUCCUGAGCACUGUCUUCCUCCUGGGACGUCAUUAAAUUUCUGUUCCCAGCACCUGAGCCUCUUUGACGCCUCUGGUCACGUCCCUCCCUGACUCCCUGCUCUAUGAUGUGAUGUCCUCGUUCCGUGACCCCGGCUCAAAUUGAAAUCAAGAGUUUCUCCAGAGGCUAGUCCUUCAGUGUUGUGGAGUCUAUGGAGAGAUCUUGCUGGCUGUGUCAGAUGGCCAAAUAAAACAGGCCUUUUCCAGAUCAUUGCAACGCUUGCCCUAGAUGAUUAUAGUAUCAUAUAGGUUGUGUUCAGUAGGCACGAAAUGGAAGAAAACAGAGUGAAACAGGGAGGUACUAUCUGAAAAUGUCCAGUAAGAAGCAUAUUGUAAUGACCUGGCUAGAUCAUAAAGGAACAAUUGUCCAGACAGAGGAUUGAGUUUACGAAUUGACGGUUUAUUAACCCAACUCCACACAGGCUACUGUUUGGCCGUAGCCCACGCCAAAUAAACGAAGGAUACCCCUAUACAACAACUGUGACCUUCUCUUGUGAAGACCAGACGUAAGAGAGAGAACAAUGGCUAAACAUGGCAUUCCUGUGGUUGGCAGAUAGCAGGUUGACUGGCAUGUCGGACCCCGCUAACACUGUGUACUGAUAAUGAAGCAUGUGAGACAUGGACAGAAAGAAUAUGAAAUGGAGAGGUUGGUGGUUCCUGGUCCCCUAGCUGAUGCUGUCCCCCACCCCCCGGACAUCAAGGGGGGCCCAGCGUACGCAGUCAGAUCCCUAUUGGACUCCCGACAUUGUGGGGGUCAGCUCCAGUAUCUGGAUUCAUUAUGAUGAAUCAUGAAUCAUUAUGAUUCACACCUGGACUCCAUUACCUUCAUAAUUUCCUCCCCUUUAUGUCACUCUCCCAUGUUCACUUACCAGUUGGUAUUGUUAUUGUGUCUCGGUGUACUGCCUUAUGUUCGUGUCGUGUUCUUGGUUUUGUUGUUUUACUAAAACGUUUCACCUACACCUGCUUCCUACUCACCACCCCAUCAUUACAGAAGGUUUGUACACGUGAUUUCAUGGAAGCCUCUUGAUAAGGAUGCUUGUCUUAAAAACAAAUAUUACAAUGUUGUGGAAUCCUGCUAAGAGUUUUUCUUGUAUUAAGUAUAAUUAUAUUUAACAAAUGAUUGCUUCCUUCUCGUUGUCUCUUUGACAACACUCUGUAAAUAUGUAACAAGGUGAGCUUGUUCUCACAGGAACAAAAGACACAUAGUGACAGGAAUUCUGUCAGAUUAACCAAGGAAUACAGCAGUUGUUAUGGUUACAAGUUAUAAAUAGUGUCUGGGAGACAGGGGAACUGAGAGUUUCAGGGUGUAAGGCUCAGAUCCAUCCCAGAAUUCACCGCUGAAGCUCAGCAAACUUGCUGGGAAACAUUCAGUCAGCCAUGGUUCUGACAUCAGGCAGGUAAAAUCACACUGUUGCAUUAAUUAGACAGACUACUUUGUGUAUAGUGGCCCACCUAGCAGCAGUCAUGAAUUUGAACUUGAAUGGUCUGAAAAGCUAUUUCUGUAAUCCGACCUUCAAGACUCUCCAUGAGCUCUAUAGCUAUGAGAUGCCAAUUUUUCUAAUGAAUGUUGAUCAUGCACUACAUGUUAUUUGGUGAAUUGUAUUGAAAUGUAGCACGUUCUAUAUCUUCUGUGGUCACUGGUCGGUAUCUUCCUCCAUGGUGUUUGGCGUUUGUGUCAUGCACAUUGUUCUCUACCCAGCCAGGCGCCUCCAUCGAACUGAGUAAUUAGAAGCAGCUCGAGGAUUUAAUGAAGAGGCGCUCGCUUGAUGGCAGCAGCGCUUGAGACAUUGCCAGUGGCUCCGACUUCAAAGCGGAGGGAGACAUGGCUCCAACAGCAAAGGCCGGGAAAAGCUGCAAGAAAACAAGUUGUGGCUUUUCUUUCGAUUUGUGGCCUGCCAUGGCACUUAUUGAUACAGAUGUAGGACCUUAA